rnacentral:tRNA from 1 species
GCGCCCUUAGCUCAGCCGGAUAGAGCAUCGGACUUCUAAUCCGACGGUCGGGGGUUCGAAUCCCUCAGGGCGCG